rnacentral:rRNA from 1 species
UACAGAGGUCCCAAGCGUUGUUCGGAUUCAUUGGGCGUAAAGGGUGUGUAGGUGGCGCCGUAAGUCGGGUGUGAAAUCUCGGGGCUUAACUCCGAAACUGCAUUCGAUACUGCGGUGCUUGAGGACUGGAGAGGAGACUGGAAUUCAUGGUGUAGCAGUGAAAUGCGUAGAGAUCAUGAGGAAGACCAGUGGCGAAGGCGGGUCUCUGGGCCUGUCCGUGACGCUCAGGCGCGAAAAGCUAGGGGAGCGAACAGG